GUGCUCGAUUUGGCAGCACAUAUACUAAAAUUGGAAGAUAGAGACAAUUAGCAUGGCCCCUAAGGAUGACACAAAUUCAUGAAAUAUUCCAUGUUUAA
ensembl:snRNA U6 U6 spliceosomal RNA